GACGAACGCUGGCGGCGUGCUUAACACAUGCAAGUCGAACGGAAAGGCCCUGCUUUUGUGGUGUGCUCGAGUGGCGAAAGUGUGAAUAACACGUGAGUAACCUGCCCUUGCUUUUGGCAUAACUUCAGGAAACUGGGGCUAAUACCGGAAAGGAGCUCCUGCUGCGUAGGGGGGUUUGGAAGGUUUAGGCGGUUGGGGAUGGACUCGGGGCUUAUCAGCUUGCUGGUGGGGUAGUGGCUUGGCAAGGCUUUGACGGGUAGCCGGCCGGAGAGGGUGACCGGCCACACUGGGACUGAGAUACGGCCCAGACGCCUACGGGAGGCAGCAGUGGGGGAUAUUGCACAAUGGGCGGAAGGCUGAUGCAGCAACGCCGCGUGCGGGAUGACGGCCUUCGGGUUGUAACCCGCUUUCGCCUGUGACGAAGCGUGAGUGACGGUAAUGGGUAAAGAAGCACCGGCUAACUACGUG
rnacentral:rRNA from 1 species